GGAUGUGAGGGCGAUCUGGCUGCGACAUUUGUCACCCCACUGAUUGCCUGGGUUGAUUCAGCCAAUCUGGCUGGCUAGGCGGGUGUCCCCUUCCUCCCUCACCGCUCCAUGUGCUUUCCUCCCGAAGCUGCUUGCUUGGUCGACGAGGACGCCCUUCCCCGCUAGAGGAAGACCGUUCUUUGGUCAAGGGUAUAUGAGUAGCUGCGUUCCAUUGCUAGAACCUCCAAACAAGCUCUCAGAAAGAGGGAGUGAUCACCUGGUCCCUGCUGCUGGAGGUCAAGUUAAACCAGGAGAGAUCUGACCCCUGGCUUU
rnacentral:snRNA from 1 species